UGGGGAAUUUUGGACAAUGGGCGAAAGCCUGAUCCAGCAAUGCCGCGUGUGUGAAGAAGGCCUUCGGGUUGUAAAGCACUUUUGUCCGGAAAGAAAUCCUUGGCUCUAAUACAGUCGGGGGAUGACGGUACCGGAAGAAUAAGCACCGGCUAACUACGUGCCAGCAGCCGCGGUAAUACGUAGGGUGCAAGCGUUAAUCGGAAUUACUGGGCGUAAAGCGUGCGCAGGCGGUUUGCUAAGACCGAUGUGAAAUCCCCGGGCUCAACCUGGGAACUGCAUUGGUGACUGGCAGGCUAGAGUAUGGCAGAGGGGGGUAGAAUUCCACGUGUAGCAGUGAAAUGCGUAGAGAUGUGGAGGAAUACCGAUGGCGAAGGCAGCCCCCUGGGCCAAUACUGACGCUCAUGCACGAAAGCGUGGGGAGCAAACAGGAUUAGAUACCCUGGUAGUCCACGCCCUAAACGAUGUCAACUAGUUGUUGGGGAUUCAUUUCCUUAGUAACGUAGCUAACGCGUGAAGUUGACCGCCUGGGGAGUACGGUCGCAAGAUUAAACUCAAAUGAAUUGACGGGGUCAUAGCUG
rnacentral:rRNA from 1 species